rnacentral:rRNA from 1 species
GAUGAACGCUGGCGGCGUGCCUAAUACAUGCAAGUCGAGCGAACAGAUGAGGAGCUUGCUCCUCUGACGUUAGCGGCGGACGGGUGAGUAACACGUGGAUAACCUACCUAUAAGACUGGGAUAACUUCGGGAAACCGGAGCUAAUACCGGAUAAUAUAUUGAACCUCAUGGUUCAAUAGUGAAAGACGGUUUUGCUGUCACUUAUAGAUGGAUCCGCGCCGCAUUAGCUAGUUGGUAAGGUAACGGCUUACCAAGGCGACGAUGCGUAGCCGACCUGAGAGGGUGAUCGGCCACACUGGAACUGAGACACGGUCCAGACUCCUACGGGAGGCAGCAGUAGGGAAUCUUCCGCAAUGGGCGAAAGCCUGACGGAGCAACGCCGCGUGAGUGAUGAAGGUCUUCGGAUCGUAAAACUCUGUUAUUAGGGAAGAACAAAUGUGUAAGUAACUAUGCACGUCUUGACGGUACCUAAUCAGAAAGCCACGGCUAACUACGUG